UACGUAGGAAGCAAGCGUUGUCCGGAAUCAUUGGGCGUAAAGCGCGCGUAGGUGGCUUCGUAAGUCCGUUGUGAAAGUCAAAGGCUCAACCUUUGAAAGCCGAUGGAUACUGUGAAGCUAGAGUACGGAAGAGGCGAGUGGAAUUCCUGGUGUAGCGGUGGAAUGCGCAGAUAUCAGGAGGAACACCAAUAGCGAAGGCAGCUCGCUGGGACGUUACUGACACUGGAGGCGCGAAAGCGUGGGGAGCGAACAGG
rnacentral:rRNA from 1 species